AUGGCUGUCCUGGUGCUGUUUCUCUGCCUGGUGGCCUUUUCAAGCUGUGUCUGGUCCCAAGUGCAGCUGAAGAAGUCAGGACCUGGCCUGGUGCAGCCCUCACAGACCCUGUCCAUCACCUGCACUGUUUCUGGUUUCUCAUUAACCAGCUAUGGUGUACACUGGGUUCGUCAACCUCCAGGAAAGGUUCUGGAGUGGAUGGGAGUAAUACGGAGUAGUGGGAGCACAGAGUAUAAUUCAGCUCUCAAAUUCCGACUGAGCAUCAGCAGGGACACCUCCAAGAGCCAAGUUUUCUUAAAAAUGAGCAGUUUUCAAACUGAUGACACAGCCAUGUACUACUGUGCCAAAAACACAAUGAGAGAAGUCCAUUGUGAACCUGAACAAAAACUUACCUAG